AGAAAGCCACGGCUAACUACGUGCCAGCAGCCGCGGUAAUACGUAGGUGGCAAGCGUUAUCCGGAAUCAUUGGGCGUAAAGGGUGCGUAGGUGGCGUACUAAGUCUGUAGUAAAAGGCAAUGGCUCAACCAUUGUAAGCUAUGGAAACUGGUAUGCUGGAGUGCAGAAGAGGGCGAUGGAAUUCCAUGUGUAGCGGUAAAAUGCGUAGAUAUAUGGAGGAACACCAGUGGCGAAGGCGGUCGCCUGGUCUGUAACUGACACUGAGGCACGAAAGCGUGGGGAGCAAAUAGGAUUAGAUACCCUAGUAGUCCACGCCGUAAACGAUGAGAACUAAGUGUUGGAGGAAUUCAGUGCUGCAGUUAACGCAAUAAGUUCUCCGCCUGGGGAGUAUGCACGCAAGUGUGAAACUCAAAGGAAUUGACGGGGGCCCGCACAAGCGGUGGAGUAUGUGGUUUAAUUCGAAGCAACGCGAAGAACCUUACCAGGGCUUGACAUCCCACUAACGAGGCAGAGAUGCGUUAGGUGCCCUUCGGGGAAAGUGGAGACAGGUGGUGCAUGGUUGUCGUCAGCUCGUGUCGUGAGAUGUUGGGUUAAGUCCCGCAACGAGCGCAACCCUUGUCGCAUGUUACCAGCAUCAAGUUGGGGACUCAUGCGAGACUGCCGGUGACAAACCGGAGGAAGGUGGGGAUGACGUCAAAUCAUCAUGCCCCUUAUGGCCUGGGCUACACACGUACUACAAUGGCGACCACAAAGAGCAGCGACACAGUGAUGUGAAGCGAAUCUCAUAAAGGUCGUCUCAGUUCGGAUUGAAGUCUGCAACUCGACUUCAUGAAGUCGGAAUCGCUAGUAAUCGCAGAUCAGCAUGCUGCGGUGAAUACGUUCUCGGGCCUUGUACACACCGCCCGUCAAACCAUGGGAGUCAGUAAUACCCGAAGCCGGUGGCAUAACCGUAAGGAGUGAGCCGUCGAAGGUAGGACCGAUGACUGGGGUUAAGUCGUAACAAGGUAUCCCUACGGGAACGUGGGGAUG
rnacentral:rRNA from 1 species